ensembl:lncRNA
GGCAAGUUAAAACGCCUGCAGAAAGCCAGGAAUACUGGUGAUUUUUCUGCGUGCAAGAACUGUGAGGAAUUAAACAGCUUUUUUAACUGCUAUGCGGUGAAGUUGUGAUUAUGUUCAGAAAUGAUAGUGUGUUGGAAUUCAGUUAUAAAACAUGCUCUUUGCUUGUUUAGUGGAUCCUUGGUGUCUGGGUUUUCCAGACAGUGGUGAUCGUCAGCAUGCUGCAUUUAUUGCAUGGAUCAGGAGUGAAAGGCACUGUUCCCUGGAAGCUGCCAUUCACAAGAUUAAGUAUGUUUGGCUUUUUUGAGUUUGUUUGUUUGCUUCCAAGAUUGCUUGUGUUAUCAACCAGGCUGGUAGCAGCUCCCACGAAGACCUCAGGAAUCCCUGACACGAAGACCUGGUGUAAGUCUGGAAUGCUCAUCGUUUUGGCUGGUGAAUGGGAAGAUUUCAAAAUGAAGGGUGAGGGCCAUCCAUACCUGGGGAAUUCAGCUGGACCCCAGGAGCAGAGAGGACUGUGGCUGCAUACCUCCAGGCUGAGAAGGAAGCUCAACACAGAUUUUGCCUUUCCCAGUGAAGUCUUCUCUCACAGACUCGUGAGAUAGGGUUGUGUAUGUGAAGAAUUACGGACUUCCAUGGGUGCUGAGCACAGCUGGCUCCAGAAUUGUCAGAGAUCAGCACCAGUUUAGAUGUCAAAGGACAAAAGGCAAAGAACUGACAUCCAUCUUCAGAUUUCCAAAAAAUAUUUUGCAAGCAACUGGCCUUCUAGAUCCUGGUGGGUCCCAGCUUCCCAGGCUCUCUCCUCAGAUCCAGCUGCUUGCUUCUAGUAAGAAGAGGAAGGCGGAAUAUCAGUGAAAUACUCCCUGAAAUAACAAGAGAUCUCAAGACUGACAGAUUUUCCUAACUCCAGGUGUAGCCUGUCGAAAAAUCUAUGAAAAAUCAGAUGUGCUUUCCUGAAAUGGAAUUUAAGAACAUCUUCGAGCUGACCAAAGAAUAUACCUAGAGAAGUGGUAACCUUUUGUUUGGAUAAAACUUUCACUGGGACCAAAACAUAGUUGCUUACAUAAGUUGUUUUUUGGGUGUUUUUUUUAAGACUUCGUCUUAAAAAAUUACAGUAUGAUGGAUGGCUGAAGGAAACCUACGUUUUGGGAUGUUGUUGAGGAGGGAUUCAUUUUAUUUACCUGUUUCUGAAGUAAAUUUCUAUGUUUUUAUUCUGCAAAAACAAUGUUCAGAUUACAAAAUCUUCACAUUGAAGGGAUAUCUGCAGUUCUAUGAGAAGUCUUUCGAAACUCUCUCAAGAUACUCUUUCACAUUUUGUCUAUAACCAACAACCUUUCAUAGAAUCAUAGAAUCGCUAAGGUUGGAAAAGACCCACAGGAUCAUCCAGUCCAACCAUUUGCCCAUCACCAAUGGUUCUCGCUAAACCAUGUCCCUCAACACAACAUCCAAACGCUCUUUGAACACCACCAGGGUCGGUGACUCCAACACAUCUCUGGGCACUUUCUCAGGACAGAUGCCUUGGAGUUAACUCAGCAGAGUCAUGCUGAUGUAAACUUGGAGUAAGUGAGAGCAGUGUGACUUACAUUUCUUCCUCUGACUCAUAAGUCAACAGAAAAGAUAUAAAUGUACUUGAGGUAAAUAGCUCCCCCAAACUGAUGUUCCUUUUUAUGUUGUCACUCAACUGUGGAACAGUCUUCACUGUGAUAAUUAUAAACAAAGAAGAAUUGCUUCUUUUUUUAGUAGAUUCCUAAGUUUGACAAGUGGUAACUUGUUUUACCUUUCAGACUGGUACUAGUAAGCUGAACUAAAAAGGUGUGGUUCUCUGGUCUAGCACUGGUGGAUGGUGUAAGGAAUACUGCCAUUUAGUGUGGAAAAAAGUCCGUUUUUAUCAUAUGUAGUAAUAUGGAACAACACUAUGUAGUAAGUUCAUUGCCUCUUACCUCAUGCUUAUUAAAUGGCACCCAUAAAUACUGAACAUGCCUGUGACUUAGUUUUGGUAUCUCAAAUUACACAUUUCUAGAGUUUAGGGAAUAUCUGACCAGAGAUGAACUUUACUGGUGCAUCAGUUCUUGGAUCUUUCCCAAAACAUAUGCAGGGACUGUCACUCUUCUUAUUUAUGGCCUCUAGAGGAAUGAUUUAAACGUGUUAUCAUCAAUCCCUCAAGAAAAAUAGUGAAUGUUUCUAGAAAAAUCCAAUUUAUUCUAGUGGAAACAACCAGUGUUGAGCCAGCCCAUUUAAUUCGGAUAUUUCUUAAUCAUUCCUAAUUAUUUUUAUUCAGGUUUUUAAUGAAAUGUUAAAACACACUUAGGAGCACUCUUUCUCUGCAUCCCUUAAGAAUUUGUUACUGUUUUCAGAAGACACUAUCCUGUUAUCACUGAAGACAGGGAAGAAGUCCCUUUGACUUAAAUACCACCAGAAAAUUACCCAAAGUGAGCAAUUUUGCCAAUUGGAAAUUAUUUAUUCCUUGAAGGGCUUACGUGAAUAUGUUCUAGAAAGCCCUGACAACAUUCAGCUUCCAAUGAUUUCAGUGCGGGUUGAGAGUGCUCAGUAAAUUGCAGUACUAGAUUAUAAUUAACAAAAACAAGUAACUUCAAGUAAAGCGUAAAGC